rnacentral:rRNA from 1 species
AGAGUUUGAUCCUGGCUCAGGACGAACGCUGGCGGCGUGCUUAACACAUGCAAGUCGAGCGGUAAGGCUCCUUCGGGAGUACACGAGCGGCGAACGGGUGAGUAACACGUGAACAAUCUGCCCCGCACUUUGGAAUAACCUUCGGAAACGAAGGCUAAUACCAGAUACCCCCGCGGUCUCGCAUGAGUCCGCGGGAAAAGCUCCGGCGGUGCGGGAUGAGUUCGCGGCCUACCAGCUUGUUGGUGAAGUAAAGGCUUACCAAGGCAUUGACGGGUAGCCGGCCUGAGAGGGUGACCGGCCACACUGGGACUGAGAUACGGCCCAGACUCCUACGGGAGGCAGCAGUGGGGAAUAUUGGACAAUGGGCGCAAGCCUGAUCCAGCAACGCCGCGUGAGGGAUGACGGCCUUCGGGUUGUAAACCUCUUUCAGCAGGGACGAAGCGCAAGUGACGGUACCUGCAGAAGAAGGACCGGCCAACUACGUGCCAGCAGCCGCGGUAAUACGUAGGGUCCGAGCGUUGUCCGGAAUUACUGGGCGUAAAGGGCUCGUAGGCGGUCUGUCGCGUCGGUAGUGAAAACUCAGGGCUCAACCCUGAGCGUGCUUUCGAUACGGGCAGACUAGAGGUAUGC